UACUCAGGCAAUACUUGGACAGGUUUGCAUCAGCAGAAGUUGCUCACAGGAGGAGUCCAUCAGAGGCUAUAGCACAGCAGUGGUGGGGUCCUGGAGGUGGUGGGUAUAAGUCCAGCGUUUUGAAGCAAAGACUCUGGAAGAGUUGCAGAAGUCUUUCCUGCUUCAUUUUCCAGCACCUCAUACACGGCGUCGGCCUCGCAGAAGAAUAUGAGAGAUUCAUUGUAACUGUGAUUCAGUGAGGAGAGGCCUCUGAAGGCUGGUCCUGGGGAAAAUUUUCCGAGAUUAACCAAGAUGGCGGAGUAGAAGGACGUGCUCUCACUCCCUCUUGCGAGAGCACCAGAAUCACAACUGGCUGCUGGACAAUCAUUGACAGGAAGACCCUGGACUUCACCAAGGAGGAUACCCCACGUCCAAGGACAGAGGAGAAGCCACAGUGAGACGGUAGGAGGGGCGCAAUCAGAGUAAAAUCAAAUCCCAUAACUGCUGGGUGGGUGACUCACAGACUGGCGAACACUUAUACCACAGAAGUCCACCCACUGGAGUGAAGGUUCUGAGCCCCACGUCAGGCUUCCCAACCUGGGGGUCCGGCAACGGGAGGAGGAAUUCCUAGAGAAUCAGACUUUGAAGUCUAGUGGGAAUUGAUUGCAGGACUGUGACAGGACUGGGGGAAACAGAGACCCCACUCUUGGAGGGCACACACAAAGUAAUGUGUGCAUCGGGACCCAGGGGAAGGAGCAGUGACCCUGGGGGAGACUGAACCAGACGUACCUGCUGGUGUUGGGGGGUCUCCUGCAGAGACAAGUGGUGGCUCUGUUUCACCGUGGGGAUAAGGACACUGGCAGCAGAGGUCCUGGGAAGUUCUCCUUGGCGUGAGCCCUCCCAGAGUCUGCCAUUAAUCCCACCAAAGAGCACGGGUAGGCUCCAGU